rnacentral:rRNA from 1 species
GACGAACGCUGGCGGCGUGCCUAAUACAUGCAAGUCGAACGCAUUUUCUUUCACCGUAGCUUGCUACACCGAAAGAAAGUGAGUGGCGAACGGGUGAGUAACACGUUGGUAACCUGCCCAUCAGCGGGGGAUAACACUUGGAAACAGGUGCUAAUACCGCAUAAUUCCAUUUACCGCAUGGUAGAUGGAUGAAAGGCGCUUUUGCGUCACUGAUGGAUGGACCCGCGGUGCAUUAGCUAGUUGGUGGGGUAACGGCCUACCAAGGCUGCGAUGCAUAGCCGACCUGAGAGGGUGAUCGGCCACACUGGGACUGAGACACGGCCCAGACUCCUACGGGAGGCAGCAGUAGGGAAUCGUCGGCAAUGGACGCAAGUCUGACCGAGCAACGCCGCGUGAGUGAAGAAGGGUUUCGGAUUGUAAAACUCUGUUGUUAGAGAAGAACAAGGAUGAGAGUGGAAAGUUCAUCCCUUGACGGUAUCUAACCAGAAAGCCACGGCUAACUACGUG